rnacentral:rRNA from 1 species
UACGGAGGAUGCAAGCGUUAUCCGGAAUGAUUGGGCGUAAAGGGUUCGUAGGCGGUGUGGCAAGUCGGGAGUGAAAUCUCUGGGCUCAACCCAGAGUCUGCUUCCGAAACUGCUGUGCUUGAGUGUGGGAGAGGCGCGUGGAAUUGCAGGUGUAGCGGUGAAAUGCGUAGAUAUCUGCAGGAACACCCGUGGCGAAAGCGGCGCGCUGGACCACUACUGACGCUGAGGAACGAAAGCUAGGGGAGCAAACAGG